GAGUAGCCUUCCAAGAUGUAUAGGUUAAUAUUUUUAGCAUGAAAGAAGCUAAUAGUCUAGAGAUGUAUAUCGAAACUUUAAAUUAUAUAUGAGAGAUAUAAUCCUUGCUACAAUCAGCUACAUGAUUAACAAGGAAUUUAGUACAAAAUCGAAGCACGGACGAGAGGUUGGCAACAGAGAUGAUGCAAGCACUCUUGGCUGGAAUCUCAUUUUUUUUUCUCAAGAAGAUUGCACCGCCAGUCGCUGAAGAUGCUGGAAGAAAACUUGGAGACUUACAUCAUCAGUGAAUAUCACAUCUGAGCCUGCUGCCAUAUCGUUUGCGUUGUUGUAUGUGGCUGAGGGAUUCAACUUUGCCAAAAGAAAUCUUGCCUGGUAAGCAUGUGGGAAAAUAUUAGAACAUCGAUAAGCAGAAACAACCAGA
rnacentral:misc_RNA from 1 species